rnacentral:rRNA from 1 species
AGGGCGUAUGGUGGAUGCCUUGGCAUUAGAAGCUGAUGAAGGACGUGACUAACUACGAUAUGCUUCGGGGAGAUGUACGUAAUCUUUGAUCCGGAGAUUUCCGAAUGGGGGAACCCACUAGUGGUAAUGCACUAGUAUCGUAUAAUGAAAACAUAGUUAUACAGAAAGCAACCCAGUGAACUGAAACAUCUUAGUAACUGGAGGAAAAGAAAGAAAAAUCGAUUUCCUUAGUAGUGGCGAGCGAAACGGAAAGAGCCCAAACCGACUUUAGAGUCGGGGUUGUAGGACCUCUACUUAAGAGUUACAAAUUCACAAUAUAGUUGAACUAUUCUGGAAAGUUUGGCAAAACAAGGUGAUAGCCCUGUAAACGAAAUAUUGUGAACUCUUUGAGGUAUCCUGAGUACAACGAGACACGUGGAAUCUUGUUGGAAUCUGCGGGGACCAUCCCGCAAGGCUAAAUACUCUCUAAUGACCGAUAGUGAACCAGUACCGUGAGGGAAAGGUGAAAAGAACCCCGGGAGGGGAGUGAAAUAGAAACUGAAACCGUAUGCUUACAAAAAGUUCGAGCACAUUAAUGUGUGAGAGCGUGCCUUUUGCAGAAUGAACCGGCGAGUUAUUGUAUUAUGCAAGGUUAAGUCGAACAGAUGGAGCCGAAGCGAAAGCAAGUCUGAAUAGGGCGCUUUAGUAUGAUGCAAUAGACCCGAAACCGAGUGAUCUAGCCAUGAGCAGGUUGAAGUUGGGGUAAGACCCAAUGGAGGACCGAACCGAUAUGCCCGGAAACGCGUACGGAUGACUUGUGGUUAGCGGAGAAAUUCCAAACGAACUCGGAGAUAGCUGGUUCUCCCCGAAAUAGGUUUAGGCCUAGCCUUGAUUGAAUCUGCCCGGAGGUAGAGCACUGAAUGUGCGAUGGCGUCGUCUAGAUGUACUGAGUACAAUCAAACUCCGAAUGCUGGGUAGUACUAAUCAGGAGUCACUGUAUGGGUGAUAACGUCCAUACGGGAGAGGAAAAGAAUCCGGAUCGCCAGCUAAGGUCCCAAAAUUUGUGUUAAGUGGGAAAGGAUGUAGAGUUGUCAAAACAGCUAGGAGGUUGGCUUAGAAGCAGCCACCCUUUAAAGAGUGCGUAAUAGCUCACUAGUCGAGUGACACUGCGCCGAAGAUGUACCGGGGCUAAACACAAUACCGAAGCUGCGGACUUGUACUUAUGUGCAAGUGGUAGGGGAGCGUUCUAAGGGCUGUGAAGGUAGACCGUAAGGACUGCUGGAGCGUUUAGAAGUGAGAAUGCCGGUGUGAGUAACGAAAAUUGGGUGAGAAUCCCAUUCACCGUUUGACUAAGGUUUCCUGGGUAAAGUUCGUCUUCCCAGGGUUAGUCAGGACCUAAGAUGAGGCUGAAAAGCGUAGUCGAUGGACAACAGGUUUAUAUUCCUGUACCACCUAUGUAACUGAUGGAGUGACGGAGAAAGCUAAUGAGAGCCAGUUAUUGGAUUCUGGUCUAAGUGCGUAGGCUAGUAUGUUGGGAAAUCCGCAAUACUAUUACAGCUGAAACAUGAUGGGGAAGUGAUCCUUCGGGUGAGUAAACUUUCAUGAUGCUACGCUUCCAAGAAAAGCUUCUAGGGCUAAUUGCAUAGGUGCCUGUACCGACAACCGACACAGGUAGGUCAAGGAGAGUAUCCUAAGGUGAGCGAGAGAACUAUGGUUAAGGAACUCGGCAAAAUGACCCCGUAACUUCGGGAGAAGGGGUGCUCUAGCGAUAGACCCGCAGUGAAUAGGCCCAGGCAACUGUUUACCAAAAACACAGGUCUCUGCUAACACGUAAGUGGAUGUAUAGGGGCUGACGCCUGCCCAGUGCUGGAAGGUUAAAGAGAUUAGUUAGUAUGACGCAAGUCGAUAAUACGAAGCUUUGAACUGAAGCCCCAGUGAACGGCGGCCGUAACUAUAACGGUCCUAAGGUAGCGAAAUUCCUUGUCAGGUAAGUUCUGACCCGCACGAAAGGCGUAAUGAUCUGGGUACUGUCUCAACCAUAGACUCGGUGAAAUCUUAAUACCUGUGAAAAUGCAGGUUACCCGCGACUGGACGGAAAGACCCCGUGGAGCUUUACUGUAGCUUGAUAUUGGAAUUCGGUAAACUAUGUAGAGCAUAGGUGGGAGACUAUGAGACUAAGGCGCCAGCCUUAGAGGAGUCACCAUUGGAAUACCACCCUUAGUUUAUUGGAUUUCU